UCAAAACACUUAGUUACACAAGUUAUCAGCUAGGUGAGGAAAUGGAGACUUGUGCUGAGCUAUCUGUGGCUGAGGAAAUGUUUCCCUGAAGACGCAGAGGGUCGUUUCGGUUCGUUUCUGCCACAACAGGAAACUAAACCCACUGAACCUGUGAAGCUCAGCGACCGGUUUUUCUGACCUGUACACUGCAGGUUGCAGCGAUGACACCAUCCACUGGUGUCUCUGAGAAGGGGUCAAACAUCCUGUCUGACCUCCGCAUGAAGUCAGGCUUCAGCAGACGCUCCAGCUCUUGUGUGACCCCAGCUCCCCUGUGAGAAACCCUGACGCUCCACCCCUCCCUCCCUCCCUCCCUCCC